rnacentral:rRNA from 1 species
UAACGUCGUAGUUGCACUUCCUUCAAUUAGUGCAAGUUGUCAUUGCGGUGGUUAAAAAGCAGGUUUUUCUUUUCCGAGUCGCAUAUAAUGAUUUACCAUAGUCAUUGUUGUGACUAUUUGCUGGUUUUAUAUAGGAAUUUUGAUUUCUUUAAUGGUUAGUGAAUUGUCUUUGAACAAAUCAGAAAUUUCAAAACAAGCUUUUGCUUGAAUGGUCGAUCAUGGAAUAAUGAGAGGACCUCGUUCUAUUUAUUGCUGCAGGAACCGAAAUCAUGAUUAGGAGGGAGAAAUCGGCGGUAUACUUAUCCCUGCGGGAGAGUUGAAAUUGGAAAGCAGGGAUUGCCGUAAAGUGAAAGCAUUUGCCAAAAAUGUGUUCAGUAAUCAAAAGCGUAAGUCAGAUUGAUGUUCGAAGCCGAUGAGAUGGUGCCCUAGUUAUGACCGUAAGCUAUGCUAUCUAGCGAUCUGAUGGGGUAUUGUUCAUUCGUCGAGCCGCUUCCCAGAAACGAGGUUCUUUUGGUUCCUAGAGUAGAAUGAUUGAAAAGCUGAAAUUUAAAAAAAAACUGUUGAAAUGGCAUUAAGAGGAGUGGAACAUGUCGCUCAAUUUGACUCAAUACGAGAAUACUCAUCUGGUCCGGAAGUCGUAAAGAUUGACAGAUUGAAAUCUCAUUCUCGAUUGGGGGUUGAUGGUCCAUAGUCGUUCUUAAUUGGCGGAGCGAUUUGACUGGUUUAUUCCGAUAACGAGCGAGACUCUAACCUGCUAAAUAGUGACUAGAUUCUUAUCUCUAAUUUACUUUCCAUAAGGAUAAGCGGUAUUUCGCCGCAAGAGAGAGAUAACAGGUCCGUAAUGCCCUUGUAGGCCCUAGACUGCACGCAUGCUACAAUGGAGGAAUCAGCUGGCCUAUUUAUUGUCGAAGAGUGUUAGUAAAACGUUGAAACUCUUCGGUGACAGAGAGAGGGAAGUGUGAUUGUUUUCCAUGACCAACUGUCUAUUAACCUCGACAGUGAUCAAGCAAUCCUUUAUAAUCUUGUAGAGAAAACACGA